CCUACGGGAGGCAGCAGUGAGGAAUAUUGGUCAAUGGCCGGAAGGCUGAACCAGCCAAGCCGCGUGAAGGACGAAGGUGCCAAGCAUUGUAAACUUCUUUUGUCAAGGGACAAAAUCAGGCUCGAGCGCCUGACCGAGGGUACUUGAAGAACAAGCAUCGGCUAACUCCGUGCCAGCAGCCGCGGUAAUAUGGAGGAUGCGAGCGUUAUCCGGAUUUAUUGGGUUUAAAGGGUGCGUAGGCGGACUGUUAAGUCAGCGGUAAAAGCCCGGGGCUCAACCCCGGCGAGCCGUUGAAACUGGCGGUCUUGAGAUGUCGAGAGGUAUGCGGAAUGCGCAGUGUAGCGGUGAAAUGCUUAGAUAUUGCGCAGAACUCCGAUUGCGAAGGCAGCAUACCAGCGGCGAUCUGACGCUGAGGCACGAAAGCGUGGGUAUCGAACAGGAUUAGAUACCCCUGUAGUC
rnacentral:rRNA from 1 species